rnacentral:rRNA from 1 species
UUAGCGGCGGACGGGUGAGUAACACGUGGGCAACCUACCUUACAGAUGGGGAUAACUCCGGGAAACCGGGGCUAAUACCGAAUAAUCCAUYUCUUCGCAUGAAGAGAUGUUGAAAGACGGUUUCGGCUGUCACUGUGAGAUGGGCCCGCGGCGCAUUAGUUAGUUGGUGGGGUAACGGCCUACCAAGACCACGAUGCGUAGCCGACCUGAGAGGGUGAUCGGCCACACUGGGACUGAGACACGGCCCAGACUCCUACGGGAGGCAGCAGUAGGGAAUCUUCCACAAUGGACGAAAGUCUGAUGGAGCAACGCCGCGUGAGUGAAGAAGGUUUUCGGAUCGUAAAGCUCUGUUGUAAGGGAAGAACACGUACAGGAGUAACUGCCUGUACCUUGACGGUACCUUACCAGAAAGCCACGGCUAACUACGUGCCAGCA